GGCGAGUGGGCGGACAGGAGGACGCCGACACCGACCGGUCGGGACGCAGUACGGCAGUACGGCGAAAUCAGCAGGGAACAGUUCCGAAUCAUAGGGAGUAAUACUACCGACGCCAGUCCACCUGUGGCUCCGGAGAGCACACAGUACUGCCCUGCUGAUCCUGGCCGUCCUGGGACGCGGCGCCUGUGACGUCCCACCGAGACCUACGCGCACACUCCACCACAGCGCCGCGCCGUGCAGAGAACGUGCCACUCUUUUUAACCAGGUGAGCCCCAUGUUUCCAACCAACAAGACAAACGAAAGAGACUGCAGGCUACACAAGUACUACUAUUGGAUAUCUAGCAGGU